rnacentral:lncRNA from 1 species
CUCGACACUCAAGUUUAAUUUUCUCCAUUUACACAUAAUUGUCUUUCCCAAUCACUGUCUUUGGGAUUAAUUCAACCGUUUGGCUUGGGAUUGUUUUUAAUUGCAAGAACCAUCAGUGUCUGGGCUAGAAACCCCCCCUUCAAUCCACCCACUCUGUUCCCAUUUCAGAUCCCAGGAAACAUUAACUCCUGCUUCUCCAUGGCCCCAAAAAACCCCACAUGGGCGGGCCCUGAACUUCCGGCGUUCUAUGGACAGAGAUUUUCACAUCCUGAUACACUGAAAAGGGCACCUGAAACUUCUGUGGGAUCUUUCCAGCAAGAGGACUCAGCUGUGAACUCCCACCAGCCCUUUCCUUCUGUCUGGCUGUAGCAGAGAAAGCUGGAGCAACUUCUAUUUUCCCCCCUAACAGCUCAAUUUCAUGGAAAUGUGUCCAUACCCAUCCUGAUUCCUGUGCUUACACAGAUCCAACAGCAUCAACACAACUCUGGGAAUCCUCCCACUCCAGACCUGCCUUCUCCAUGCCAUGAGCUGUUCGGAGACUUGGCAGGUUCCAGGAUCAUUGCAUGGAAUCCUUGAAUAUCCCAGCUUGGAAUGGACCCUCAGGGAUGAUCAGUGCAGCCCCUGGCCCUGCCCAGAACCCCCAACAAGCCCACCCUGAGCAUCCCUGAGAGCGCUGUCCAAACGCUCCUGGAGCUCUGGCAGCCUUGGGGCCGGGCCCAUUCCCUGGGGAGCCUGGGCAGUGCCAGCAGCCUCGGGGGGAAGAACCUUGCCCUGAGAUCCAUCCCAAGCCCUGGCACAGCUCCAUGCCAUUUUUGGCAUGGGGGUUUGCACCUAUUAAGAAGUUUCUCCUCCAGGGACAGACACAGGAAAUCCAAGUUUGAGCUUGAGACAUCCCCCCUGCCCUUUGCCCCCUCAUUUCCCAAAAUAUUUAACAUAGUAAGUUGAAACAACUAAAAAUAGUGGGUGUUCCAUAACUUGAGACAGAAAGGUACAACCCCUCCUCUCUGAGCUCCUUUUGCUCCCAGAUUAUGGAGGGAACUUAGGCAUGACCAGCACUGGCUCUGGUAACUCCACUAGGUAACCUUGAGUAACCCAAGAGGAUUGCAAAGGU